CGACAACGGUCGCACCGUGGCCGACACCUAGCGAGUAUCGUUUACGGCUAGGACUACCCGGGUAUCUAAUCCGGUUCGUGCCCCUAGCUUUCGUCCCUUGCCGUCAGGUCCGUUCUGGUGAGACGCCUUCGCCACUGGUGGUCCUUCAAGGAUUACAAGAUUUCACCCCUACCCCUGAAGUACCUCUCACCUCUCCCGGCCUCGAGCCAGACAGUAUCUCCUGAAAGCCUGACAGUUAAGCUGCCAGAUUUCUCAAGAGACUUAUCCGGCCGGCUACAGACCCUUUAGACCCAAUAAUAACGGUUACCACUCGAGCCGCCGGUGUUACCGCGGCGGCUGGCACCGGUCUUGCCCGGCCCUUGCUAUGAAAUGCUUUUUAGGCAUCUCGACAGCCAGAUUUGUAACCUGGCACUCGAGGUUCCCUUAUCGCUGUUGCCAGCAUUGUAAAGUUUUCGCGCCUGCUGCACCCCGUAGGGCCUGGAUUCGUGUCUCAGAAUCCAUCUCCGGGCUCUUGCUCUCACAACCCGUACCCGUCGUAGGCUAGUAGGUACGCUACACCCACUACUACCUGAUAGGCCGCAGACCCAUCCUUAGGCGCCGGAGCUUUAAAUCUCGAUGCAUUCCAGCAAUCGAGGCCUAUCGGGUAUUAUACCCAGUUUCCCGGGUUUAUCCCCGUCCUAAGGCAGGUUGUCCACGUGUUACUGAGCAGUUCGCCAUGUAUUGCUACAUUCGA
rnacentral:rRNA from 1 species